rnacentral:rRNA from 1 species
UACGAAGGGGGCUAGCGUUGCUCGGAAUCACUGGGCGUAAAGGGUGCGUAGGCGGGUCUUUAAGUCAGGGGUGAAAUCCUGGAGCUCAACUCCAGAACUGCCUUUGAUACUGAAGAUCUUGAGUUCGGGAGAGGUGAGUGGAACUGCGAGUGUAGAGGUGAAAUUCGUAGAUAUUCGGAGGAACACCAGAAGCGAAGGCGGCUCACUGGCCCAAUACUGACGCUGAGGCGCGAAAGCGUGGGGAGCAAACAGG